rnacentral:rRNA from 1 species
UACGUAGGGCGCAAGCGUUGUCCGGAAUUAUUGGGCGUAAAGAGCUCGUAGGCGGCUUGUCACGUCGGAUGUGAAAGCCCGAGGCUUAACCUCGGGUCUGCAUUCGAUACGGGCUAGCUAGAGUGUGGUAGGGGAGAUCGGAAUUCUUGGUGUAGCGGUGAAAUGCGUAGAUAUCAAGAGGAACACCUGAGGUGAAGACGGGUUGCUGGGCUGACACUGACGCUGAGGCGCGAAAGCCAGGGGAGCAAACGGG